AUGCUUACUUUGGCAGCAUAUAUACUAAAAUUGGAGCGAUACAGAGAAGAUUGACAUGCUCUUGCUCAAGGAUGAUAUGCAAAUUCAUGAAGCAUUCCAUAUUUUA
rfam:Erinaceus europaeus unplaced genomic scaffold scaffold00707, whole genome shotgun sequence